UAAUAUAUAUUUUAUAUAUAUUAUAUAUAAUGUGUAUAUAUAUUAUAUAUAUAAUGUGUAUAUAUAUUAUAUAUAUAAUGUGUAUAUAUAUUAUAUAUAUAAUGUGUAUAUAUAUUAUAUAUAUAAUGUGUAUAUAUAUUAUAUAU
rnacentral:snoRNA from 1 species